GGCGAAGUGGGGGCAGGGAGCGGCGUUAAUAGGCAGGGGGCAAACGGUGCUCGGAAGCAGUGGGGUGAAAGCGCACGUAGGCGGCUUGCCAAGUCGGACGUGAAAUCCCUCAGCUCAACUGAGGACGUGCAUCCGAAACUGGCGAGCUUGAGUGCUGAAGAGGAUCGCGGAAUUCCCGGUGUAGAGGUGAAAUUCGUAGAGAUCGGGAGGAACACCAGUGGCGAAGGCGGCGAUCUGGGCAGACACUGACGCUGAGGUGCGAAAGCGUGGGGAGCAAACAGGAUUAGAUACCUAGUAGUC
rnacentral:rRNA from 1 species